GAUGAGUCCUGCAGCCCCACAACACAAGCUGAGAGAGGCCAUCGCUAUGGUAGACGAGGUCGGGCCGCCGGAGAAGCCUGCAAUGGAGCCAGCACCGGCCGCGAAGCAGAUCAUGGUGCCGGAGAAGCCAGAGGAGAUGCUGAGAGCUCAGCAUAUGUUGACCACUCUGGUGGACGAGGUCCGGCCACCGGAGAAGCCAGAGGAGACGCCGGAGAACACCUCCGCAGGUCAGCCUGCCCUGUUGCGGUAUCGCCCCGUCAGUCUCUGUCCUCCCUCGACUGACCGCCGCCGCUCAGGAUGUCCAACUCCAUCCUACCCCCGCCCAAGAAUGUUGAUGUCGAGCGCUCCGCCUGUUCCGCUCCCGCGCCGCCAACGAGCACCGCCGAGCUCCUCCCUGGCGCCACGUCCCGACAGACGUCGGCGCCGAGCGGCUGGCUCCACCGUGCUGAGUUGACCAAAUGGGUCUGAUGGAAAGAGGAGCAUUUGCUGCUUCUUGGCUUGCAAAAGGCAUCCUGACCUACAUCCACCCAGCAUAAAAACGUGUAUUGGUCACAUCAUCAAGCAAAUAGGUGAUACGAUGCUUUAUGUCUUAUUCUUACAAGCAUCUGAGUCUUAUGGUUUCUUUGGUUUUCUUCUUUCUUAAUUCUUAUUUGUUUUUUGUGAAGUUACGUCCAAAAAUUGACAGAAGGAAUAGCUCAUACACACUUGAUAACACACUUUCUUCUUUUUAUCAGCAUACUUUUCAGUCCUUUCUAAGUUCUAACGUUGUCACUUUCCAAAUCCUGUUGUCACUUAUAAAACUUGCACAUUGAUAUUUUAUUUAGUAUCAGUACAAUUUAUAUGGAUGCAUAUGUUUAGAUGAAACUUGAUAUUUGAUUUUGUAUCGGUACAAUUUAUAUGGAGGCAUAUGUUUAGAUGAAACUUGGUGAAGCAUUGUUCAAUAUUCAUCACAACUUCAGGAAUAAUAACAACGACACCAUGUGGACCAUUACUUCGAUUUUGGCAAAUCUAGUUUCAAAACAUUCGAGCUAAACAACACUAAGGACAAUAGUUCAUACAACCUCAUGAAAGAACAAUGCCAACAUAGAGGUGCACAACAUAUGUCAUACUUUCAAUUUUUCAUUGUCCUAAAAACACAGCAAUAUGUGCCAUCUAAUACUCAUGAUACGAAGGUAAGUGGAAGACAAUAAAUUUGUAGCAAGCUUCUAUGAAAUAGUACACAGAGGUGAUGAAUACAUUUAGUUCCAUGUCUCAAGCACUACAUGUCAACCUUUUUACUAAUACAUUUUUAUAGCAGGCAAAUCUAGCUUGCUUUUGUAUGAUAGGUCACUAGGUCAGUAAAGACAAAUUAAGCAUUAUGUGCCAGAACAUCUACCUGUAUAGAAAUACCUUCCUUCAUGCAAAGGAACACUAAAAUCAUACCACAUAUAGUUACUUAUAAAAAUCACUUAUAAAUGUUUUUGAACCACGACGCCGCACGCGCCCUGCGCGCGCCAGCUACUAGUAAAUUAAAAUGAUAUAAGCUGAGCUUUUUUAGUACAUGUCUUCUGACAAUGAAUUUUUAGCUAUUUAACUAGUACUAUCAUAUCUAGUGCGGCUUUUAUGCAUCAUCUUUAAUAUGAUUUUGGUGACAUGUUUCUUUUCUAUUUAUCCAUAAACUUUCUGUGCCAAUCAAAACUAUAUAUAAAAGGAUCAAAUAUAUGGCACAACAACUACAAUAACAGUUGCAUUGAUAUGGUAACGACACUGAAUAACAUUCAUAAUACAAAUUGCACGAAUAGCAUUGGAAUACCAUACAUCUGAUGACUAAUUAAAGCAUUCGAUUAUUAUCUUUUUUACUUUAGUUGUAUAUAUAAUCAAUUGGUUAUGCCAGUGACAAGAUGGACAUCAGUAGAUACACUAGCUAUAAAAGUUCAAAAUAGACUUAGGAUCUAGUAGCGAUCUUAGGCCCUGUUUGGUUCAUUUAGUCACUAGACUAAAUUUUAGUGACUAAAGUUUAGUCGCUAAAGUAUCCUGUUUGGUUCCAGUGACUAAACCUGACUAAAGAGCAUUAAUUGCUGUGAAUAAUGACUGUUUUACCCUAUUAAUUAAUGGAUGUUUGCUAUAAGAAGAAAGUUGAGAGGGCAAAUAGGGUAAAAAUACUACUUUAGUCCCUUUUAGUCACCCCUUGGUGACUAAAGAACUAAAUUUUAGUCAUCUCAUUUUAAUCAUCAUGUUUGCUUCUUUAGGGACUAAAAGUGACUAAAAUUUAGUCACUAAACUUUAGUCAUCACUAACCAAACGGGGCCUUAGGUUGGUUCGAACCUCCUGGUCUAAAUCGACCACCAACUUAGCUAUCGCAUUAUCAAUUUUGCUCUCGAUCACAGUCAGUCACUUCUUAUUUUGUGUAGCACCUUAGAGCAUAGCCUUCAGCGUUAGCUUAUAAUCACCUCAAUGACACAUCAACAUUUUUAUAGAAUUUUAAUUAACAUAAAACACAUUAUUUUUAUUGAAAUGAAAAUAAAAAUUACAUAAUUUAUAAAAAAAACUUAUUUAUAAGUUGGAUUAUAGGUUUUAAAAAUAGAUAUUUUUGUAGAAAUAGAUAUAUUUUUAAAAACAAUCUAAAUUGUUUGGACUUCAAACAAUUAAAACAUAUGUGGACCAAAAUGUCGUGCUGUCGAUUCUAUACCACACUAUCGAUCAGAUCGUCCAACGUAUCGAAGCCAGCUCCAAUAUAGUUGUUAUCGAUUGGCCUGAUCGAUCCAUCCAUCAGCAUUGGGACCGACGCAUUCGAUAUCAAUUGCAUGUCACCAUUGGAACCACCCUUAUAUGAACAAUAAUUUAAGUCGUGGAUCUCAUACGUCUUAACUUUUUGUCGCUGACAUCAUUGUCAAUGGAGCCGUGCAAAAAUCAUUGUUUUAUAUGGAGGAACGUAUAUUGUGCUCACGCAGGUUAUGUGCUCAUGUGAGCACUUUUAAUCUGGUGUGUUCGUUACCAAUCCAACGUCAGUCGGUCAUUUUUCAUUUCACCCCUUCCACUUCAGUUGCUAUCGCACAAGAAACAAUUCCGAGAGGCUGCACAUAUCCCUUUACUUUAUGUAUCGUCUUCCUGACUGAACUGGUGACGGCGCCUUCUAGUCGUCCGAUCAUUGGCGUUAGGGCAAGGAUUAUCUAAGCUGCUAUUUCGCUAGGUUAAGACAUGGAGACCUGACAUGCUCUCCUUUUCUGCUAUGUGAUUUUUACACUUAUGCAUUACCACAUGUUCUCUGGAUGGGCAUGGGGUCUCUGAUUGUCGGACACCAUGAUCACAGUGUGGUUGGAGGCCAUGGCCAACAGCCAGAGAGACCUAGCAUCGUCCAAGGGAGCCCUCCAUGGGCGACACAAGAGGGGGACAGCCACACACACAUGCAAGACAUUGAGGAGAAGCACAACCAUGUUGUGUGUCACCUUUCCUUUGAUUGCUAGUUGGAUCAUUCACAUAUUAUAUCGGUUGAAUCAUCUUCUACACCAAAAAAGGCAUAUGUUCCUGCAGUGAUAAGCUUUCCUUUUCACUCAUGUUAUUUCCUUACCAUGUAGAAUAAUAUGUUUGUGUGACAAAAGUAUUGUUUUACUGUGCCACAUUACAGUGUUUGUCAUUUAUACCAGCCCGAGUAGAUGGAAGAAAGCCUUCUCUUGGAAUGUCCUUUGAUUCUAUAAAGGAUGUGGAAGAGUUCUAUAAGUCAUAUGCACAUGACGAAGGGUUUUCUAUUCGUAUUGGUCCUCAAAAUUUAGCUAUUGAUGAGGUUAUCAACAAGAGAUUUAUGUGUUCAAGGCCAGGUUUUAAGAAGAUGAAGGAGACAAAUGGUCCACCUAAAAAUUUAAAGAACCAUGCACUGACAAGAUGUGGCUAUGAUGCAAAUGUAUAUGUGAAGUUGGGUAUUGUGGGGGACAGAUAUCCCCCGGGUCCAUCAGAAGGAUAAAAGACCUCACGAAAGGCCCAAGGGCCCCAUAAUUCGUAAGGUCAUCCCCUUGUGGGCCUGGGAGAGACGACCAGUGAAGCGGAUCGACAUAAGGCUGGAUCGGUGCAAGCCCAGACGACCCAAUGACUUCGAGCAAGUAAUCACAACAGUGAUCCGACCUUCCCGCGCUGGAGCCCCGUACAACAGAACCGAGCGAGGAUGGGUCGGCGGAACUAUAGGAAGAUAGACUCAAUCGGUUCACUAUUUCUUAGGUGCACAUUGUUAUCAUACCUGCAUGUAUUGCCCCACGGUCGAAUAUAUAAGGCCUAGGGGGCACCCCUUCAGAACACAUGCUCAGUACUUAGCCAUCCACCCAAUUCUCUGUGCUCUCGGUGCUAGAGAACCCUCUUGUAACCCACCACAUAAAGCACUCUCGCCAGGAUGUAGGGUGUUACUCA